rnacentral:misc_RNA from 1 species
CGACCCUUAAGCCCCAGUUGCUUAGCGUUGGGAGUCUGCGGCCCAGGCCGCAGUUCCUCAAAGUCAGUGGCGGAGUUGUAGCACACUCUAAGCGUAGUAGUUUUCCAUUGCCUCGCUUGCAGAGCGGCCUCAGCUGCCAGCCGUAAAGCCCUAUACUUCUUAGU